rnacentral:sRNA from 1 species
AUGUACCACACGUACACUGCGGUUCCUCCGCGCCGUCCGCGCCCCCCCUGGCGACUGCUCGCUACGUUUUGCUAACC